AAGUACAGGUUUCGAUAUUUCAAUAAGGAAGUGGCCCAAAUGACCAGGCGUAAAUAAACUAUGCCUUGACUCCGUGUGGGAAUGGAUCUUGUUUGUAUUUGAACUUUUCCAGUGGUGAGUCAAAGACAAGUCUCGUACUUUUCAGGCCAGGCGAUUUUGCGACAAUAACCAGGAUGUGACUUCCGAGCAGAGACGGCACGCACAAUAAACUUUGAAUGAAGCGUGACGACGACCACAUGGUAACUCACUGCUGGUAAACAGAAUGAUGGGAAAAGUGCGAUUCCCGUUUCAACAACAAACAAAACAAUGGUCCUUGGAACAGACUAAAUCCUGCAGACUAAAGACAUACAACUCAAAGUAUAAAGCAGCCAUCAGUCUUCCUAACUCUCAGGUGACGACCCCUACUCCUUUGCCUGGAAACAUUCGAAAAAUGGCAGAGGAAAACAGUACGGAUAGUUCAGCGGAGAAACAUCUAGAGGUUAAUGCUUCAAUGGAGAAAAGUGUACGACUUAAGUCGCCAAAAGUGUGGGAACACUUUACUUUAAAGACUUCAAAGAAGACCGUUUCCUGCAAAAUGUGCAGCAUGGACCUCGCAUGGCACGGAAGGACAACAUCGCUUCGGGAGCAGAUGUAGAGGAAACUUGUUGGAGCCAUGGAUGAAGGGAACUCACGAAAGAAACAACCCAGCAUGAGCGACUUGGUGCAAAGGAAGGUCUGCACACCACAGCAAGCAGCUGCAUUGACUGAUGCUAUCCUGAAUAUGUUGCUAACUGACAUGAGGCCACUAUCAAUGGCGGAGGAUAAAGGUUUUAGACAAAUUAUUUCACAUAUUCUAACUUUUCUAAAUUCAAAGGCGAUGCAGCAGUGGCAGCAGUAGCGUCAACUACAGGAGGUAGCAUUACCUUUUGGCUCUCGGUGGUAGCCUGAGGCACUGUGAGCAUGGUGGGGCUGUGUCACAAAGUAGUUCCCUAGUGUUAGAUAAUUCAAUAACAAAGUCACUAUAGCUUGGAAAAUAUGCAGGUCACGGCAUGUAAAUGGAUCGCUGAUGGCGUUUUUUUUAAUGGUAUUUUUGAGAGUGCUUUAUGGGAGAAACAGUAGAAUGCCCAUUAACCCGCAUUGUCAGAACGGUCAGAAAUGGAAAGAUGUUUGUCAUUGUCUCACAUAAGGAUUUUAGGUACACCCAAAAUGUUUUGACCAUAGAAAGAAAGUAUCUCGCUUUUUUUCCACACCCUUAUCGUACCUUGAUGAGCAUCUUGGCCCUUUUCAGCAAGCUCAGUGUGGUGUGUCUAGUGCUGUCUGGACCCAAAGGCACCAGCUUCUUCAGCUGCUCCAAGUACAGCCGUAGUUUGGCACGUCUGCAAGCACACAGGCGAAGGGUGAGUCAGCAAAUAUCGAGUAGCAGGAUAAGUGCGAAGUUGUGACCUUUAAGACUCAAUGUUCUUGGGAAGAAAAACAUUUCCGAGGAAAGGGGGAGUCAGUACUGCAUGACAAGGAAUGACGACAUGAAGAUUGGCAUGCUCUCCUUAAAAUGCAUGUACCUACACUUGUACUUCUGAACCACUUUUAUGUACUAUCACAACUAUCGUUCAUUUUUUCUGGUGUCACUUAGUUGAUGGGUUUGUAAACUUGAUAUUUUUCCCUUGGGUACGUUGUUUGUUUAGUCUUAUGCACAGAAACAUUAAGCUCAAAGACAGAUAUGUUCUGUGCCAGAUUAUAGCUAAAUAGCUAAUUUCCAUCCACAGUCCCUGGCUACCUAAAUUAAAGGGAUACAAAAAUCAUGCAAUAAAAUGAUGACGAUAAAAUCAUACCAUAUCACGUAAUCAAAUUAAGAAAAUUCAUAAAAUGCCCUUUCAUGAACACAUACUUAAUAUACAAUACAACCACAUCUAAUUUACAUCAUCAUACAAAGACGAUACAUGCUCUAGUUCAGUGGUCCCCAACCUUUUUUUAUCUGCGGUCCGGUCAACGCUUAAUAAUUUGUCCCGCGGCCCGGGCGGGGGGUUCUUUUUUUUAAUGUAUUUUUUGUCAUGAAAAAAGGACGUUU